rnacentral:rRNA from 1 species
UGGGGAAUAUUGCGCAAUGGGGGGAACCCUGACGCAGCCAUGCCGCGUGAAUGAAGAAGGCCUUCGGGUUGUAAAGUUCUUUCGGUAUUGAGGAAGGUUGAUGUGUUAAUAGCACAUCAAAUUGACGUUAAAUACAGAAGAAGCACCGGCUAACUCCGUGCCAGCAGCCGCGGUAAUACGGAGGGUGCGAGCGUUAAUCGGAAUAACUGGGCGUAAAGGGCACGCAGGCGGUUAUUUAAGUGAGGUGUGAAAGCCCCGGGCUUAACCUGGGAAUUGCAUUUCAGACUGGGUAACUAGAGCACUUUAGGGAGGGGUAGAAUUCCACGUGUAGCGGUGAAAUGCGUAGAGAUGUGGAGGAAUACCGAAGGCGAAGGCAGCCCCUUGGGAAUGUACUGACGCUCAUGUGCGAAAGCGUGGGGAGCAAACAGGAUUAGAUACCCUGGUAGUCCACGCUGUAAACGCUGUCGAUUUGGGGGUUGGGGUUUAACUCUGGCGCCCGUAGCUAACGUGAUAAAUCGACCGCCUGGGGAGUACGGCCGCAAGGUUA